CAGCAGCCGCGGUAAUACAGAGGGUGCGAGCGUUAAUCGGAUUUACUGGGCGUAAAGCGUGCGUAGGCGGCUUCUUAAGCCGGAUGUGAAAUCCCUGAGCUUAACUUAGGAAUUGCAUUCGAUACUGGGAAGCUAGAGUAUGGGAGAGGAUGGUAGAAUUCCAGGUGUAGCGGUGAAAUGCGUAGAGAUCUGGAGGAAUACCGAUGGCGAAGGCAGCCAUCUGGCCUAAUACUGACGCUGAGGUACGAAAGCAUGGGGAGCAAACAGGAUUAGAUACCCCGGUAGUCCCUGUCUCUUAUAC
rnacentral:rRNA from 1 species